CCGCUUUCCAGGCCGCAGAUCUCCUCCAGAGUGACACUGGCCCGCUCCUUGUUCCCGUCGACUUUGUCUGACUUGUCUUUAAAAACCAGCAACACGAGGCAAUCUGGAGGCAUCAAAUAGCGACGGCUUGCGAAGAACAAUCCACCUAGUUUUCCACUGCCAAAGACAAAUCCCCCGCCCCAAAAAAAGAUGGCAGUCUGGCGUAUCCCUCCACGACUACCGAAUCGGUCAUCUUCAGUCAUGGUUCCUGACAGCUGCACAGUUGGCUGCCCCAAUGAGCCACUGAUGGAGCAGCAGUAGUUGUCUGGGAAGGCCACGCCAUUUUCGGGAAGACAGAUGGGCCUGAUGAACGGCGUCCGCUUCACACAGCGACCAUCCUGCUUCUUCAGUUUGACGAGAACUGGUCCAAAUGGGAGGUCAAAGGAAAAAACCCAAAACAAACAAAUGGAGGGCACUGCGCAGUACUCCCAGGAGAUGGCGCCCUUGCUCAGAGUGUAGCACCACGGCAUUAUGUCGCCAUCAGGAUUCCUGCACAUUUCGAGGGGAGAAGAAUGGCCAGAAAUCUGAUGUGACAGUGACACUUGGAAGCGGUGGUAUGAGGUUAUCAUGGCGCCUAAAAGCAGCGGGAAGAAUCUACGCAGAGGCCGUCGGCAGCCGACAGCAUGACAGCC